UUAUAUGUCUUGAUCAUAUAAUGAAACUUAAAGUUUCCUGAAAUAUAUUAUGACAUUUGAUGAUUUUUAAAUUGAACACCCCAAAGCUUAUAAUAUUUAAUUAGAAGAAUGGGCAGGAAACUUUAGAAUGACUAUGGUUUGCUCAAUUUACUUUGGUUGCAUAACCACGUUUUACAGCAUGUCAUUUUUUGUGUAGCUGUAACAUUCAAGGAUAUUUAGAAAAAUGAUUAUGACACCCGUUGGAGUUAUAAAUUUAAAGCUGCAGGAAUAUGGUUAGAUCAGUUGCUUAUCAUGCUUUUCAAGAUCUUUUCUUUUGUAAGUAAAUUGGCAAAUAUGGGCCGAUAUUGUUAGACGACUAGCUUAUUCCCUGUGCCAAUGGGCUUCUAAGGUUACCAGAACUUUCAAUUUUCUGUUCAAACCUAAGUUUUCUGAAUUGAUUAAUAUUUUUAUUUAUCCAAUUGAUUUCUUCUAUCACAGGUUAAGAAACACUCAUCAUACCUAAUGACUGUAGAAAUGUCUAUUGUUGGAAGUAUAUGCUUGCUUACCAGUACCUUGAAAUCUCCGGAUGGGGAAACUAUGAGACGUCAUGGCUUUUUUCAUGGUUGGACUCCUUUAACUUGGAGAGAAGAAAAAUUUAACAUGGACUGCACGAUAUGCAAGUUGCAAUACUCACUUAGAGUCUAUUGGUUAUGUUCUUAUGUACUUCUUAAGAGCAAGGUAUGUUUCUUCCUAUUCAUUAUAAUUUACUUAGCAUAUGGAAUUUUAUAAAAUGGUGCAUGUGAGUAUCAAUUGCACAUACUUUUAAGUUAAACAAUUGUAGCAUAGUCAAUGUUUACUAUUAUAGUGAAACAAGAUCAAUCACAAUCUCUCGAUGAAAAAGACAAUAUUGAAGAGCAGUCUAAGCAAUUACAGCUCCCGAAGAAGGAUUUAGAUGUGUGCUUAGAAAUAAUGUUUUGAAGGCAAACUGCAUUUUUUCUGUGAUCUACCAUUGAAAGCAUCGUCGCCUGUGUUUUUUUUCUUCCGUUAGAUAGUGGUUGGUUGUCUAGGAUUUAAUAAAUUGUUAUUAAUGGGAAUAGUUUUUGGAUAGUGUGAAGUAAUGGUGAAAGUUAGAAAGUAUAAAACACAUAGUACAUAAUGGUUGAUAUGGAAAAUAAAGGCUUAGAACUUUGUUAAAUGCAUUAUGACGCGUUAAAACAAACCUAGCUAUACGUGAGAGUCUAUCUCUUUGAUUUUGUUGCGAAAGGUUAUGAUAUGUACUUUCUACUUUUUAGUGUACCAUGUCCAUGUCUCAAGUGUUUAUAGAGUCUAUUAAAAUAAGUUUAUGGUUAAAAUUGUUAUUAAAAUAAGUUUAUGGUUAAAAUAAACAUAUACAUUUUAUUCUAUCUCUAGUUUAUUAAAAUAAGUUUAUGGUUAAUUGUUAUUCAAUUAAUGGAUUUUUUUAUAACAUUAUAUCUAUAAGUGUGUAUAGAUAAGUUGAAUGAGAGAGCUUCUUGAAAAAAAAAAUGAGAUGGAGUAGUUAAAAGCUCAGUUAUAAAUUACAAUUAUAAUUUUUUUCUUCUGAUAAAUAAAUGUAGGUGUAGAAGUUUAUUCAAACUGACUCCAAAUUCACCUAAGAAAUACUGUCGCAUACUGUAUACCGAACCUUGUAAUUAUUUUGUUCUUUUGUUUGGAGCUGCCACUAUAUGGAUCUUUUGCUUGAUUGCAUGUAGUAAUAUUAUUCCUAUAAUCUCAUCUCAUUAUGUAUAAUGCUGCAUUGCUUUUGUUGAAUCAGUCAUGUCAUCUUGUAUAGCAGUUUGAAUUUCUCUUAUAUUUUAUUUCUUUCUUUAGAUUUUUUAUUAAAAUUUAAUUAAUAUUAAAUAUUUCUGAUAACAAUAUUAUAUCAUAACAGUAUCAGUGCGAACGCACGAGUACCACACCAGUACUAUGUGAAUGCACAGAUAAUCAUAUUAAAAUUGAUACAAAUGCACGGGUUAUUAUUAUUUUUUGUAUAAUUAAGAAAAUAAAAUAAAAUAUAAUAUAUUAAAUUAAAUACGAGAAAAAUAUGUUGUCUUUAAAUUAUUUAUGUAUUUAUAUUUUUUAAAAAUAUUUUUAAUUUAAGAUACAAAACUUUUUAAGAUAAUAUAUGAAACAUUGAAAUAUAUUUUAUUGAUGUAAAACAAUUUUGAUAAAAAUAAUUUUGUUUUUAUUUUAAAAAUAUGUCUUUCUUUUACAAAUAACAUAUUAUUUUGAUAAAACAACUUUAUUAUUCUUAAUUUCAUUUUGAUUACAUUUUGAAAGCAAAAGAGUACGUACCACGCCAGCACGCGUGUGAACACACAGGUGCUGAUACGAUACUUAAACAAAAAUAAAUUUUGUAUACGGAAAGAAAUUUAUUAUUGAUCUAAAUAAUUUUAUAUACAAAAAAUGGUAUUUAUAAUCUAAAUAUUUUUGAUAAAAAAUGGUAUACGGGAAAAAAUCUAUUAAUGAUCUAAAUAUUUUUAUAUACAGAAAUUUACUAUUGACCCAUAUA